rnacentral:tRNA from 1 species
AAGGGAGACCUAAUUCAGGUAGGAGACGAAAAAAAAGUAGUCGCUACCAAGAAUCAAUCCCAAAAGGUCGGAGCGAGGCGAAAUUGGCUUUCAAACUAGGUUUUGGGUUCACACAAGACCUGGAUCAGGAACAAGGGCUAUUAGCUCAGGUGGUUAGAGCGCACCCCUGAUAAGGGUGAGGUCCCUGGUUCGAGUCCAGGAUGGCCCACCUGUACAGGUGGCAAAAAGAAAGAAAAGAAGCGAGGAAUCAGCACCUUAUCUUACUGACAUAGUAAGAGAGAAUGCUGGCUCUGAGUAAAGAGUCCAGAGGAACCUUGAAAACUGCAUAGAGCUAGGUGAAAAAGCCAAAAAAGAAGACCGCAA